rnacentral:tRNA from 1 species
CGGGACUGACGGGGCUCG